rnacentral:rRNA from 1 species
UACAGAGGUCCCAAGCGUUGUUCGGAUUCACUGGGCGUAAAGGGUGCGUAGGUGGUUGGGAAAGUUUGAUGUGAAAGCUCGGAGCUCAACUCCGAAAUGGCAUUGAAUACUUCCUAACUUGAGGGUCGGAGGGGAGACUGGAAUUCUCGGUGUAGCAGUGAAAUGCGUAGAUAUCGAGAGGAACACCAGUGGCGAAGGCGAGUCUCUGGACGACUCCUGACACUGAGGCACGAAAGCUAAGGGGAGCAAACAGG